rnacentral:rRNA from 1 species
GGGCUCGCAGGCGGUUUCUUAAGUCUGAUGUGAAAGCCCCCGGCUCAACCGGGGAGGGUCAUUGGAAACUGGGGAACUUGAGUGCAGAAGAGGAGAGUGGAAUUCCACGUGUAGCGGUGAAAUGCGUAGAGAUGUGGAGGAACACCAGUGGCGAAGGCGACUCUCUGGUCUGUAACUGACGCUGAGGAGCGAAAGCGUGGGGAGCGAACAGGAUUAGAUACCCUGGUAGUCCACGCCGUAAACGAUGAGUGCUAAGUGUUAGGGGGUUUCCGCCCCUUAGUGCUGCAGCUAACGCAUUAAGCACUCCGCCUGGGGAGUACGGUCGCAAGACUGAAACUCAAAGGAAUUGACGGGGGCCCGCACAAGCGGUGGAGCAUGUGGUUUAAUUCGAAGCAACGCGAAGAACCUUACCAGGUCUUGACAUCCUCUGACAAUCCUAGAGAUAGGACGUCCCCUUCGGGGGCAGAGUGACAGGUGGUGCAUGGUUGUCGUCAGCUCGUGUCGUGAGAUGUUGGGUUAAGUCCCGCAACGAGCGCAACCCUUGAUCUUAGUUGCCAGCAUUCAGUUGGGCACUCUAAGGUGACUGCCGGUGACAAACCGGAGGAAGGUGGGGAUGACGUCAAAUCAUCAUGCCCCUUAUGACCUGGGCUACACACGUGCUACCAUGGACAGAACAAAGGGCAGCGAAACCGCGAGGUUAAGCCAAUCCCACAAAUCUGU